CCUACGGGGGGCAGCAGUGAGGAAUAUUGGUCAAUGGGCGGAAGCCUGAACCAGCCAAGUCGCGUGAGGGAUUCAGGCCCUAUGGGUCGUAAACCUCUUUUGUCAGGGAGCAAUGGCGUCCACGUGUGGGCGUAUGGAGAGUACCUGAAGAAAAAGCAUCGGCUAACUCCGUGCCAGCAGCCGCGGUCAUACGGAGGAUGCGAGCGUUAUCCGGAUUUAUUGGGUUUAAAGGGGGCGUAGGCGGGCCCUUAAGUCAGCGGUAAAAGUGCGGUGCUAAACGCCAUAGAGCCGUUGAAACUGGGGGUCUUGAGUGAGCGAGAAGUAUGCGGAAUGCGUGGUGUAGCGGUGAAAUGCAUAGAUAUCACGCAGAACUCCGAUUGCGAAGGCAGCAUACCGGCGCUCAACUGACGCUCAUGCACGAAAGUGUGGGUAUCGAACAGGAUUAGAUACCCGUGUAGUC
rnacentral:rRNA from 1 species